AUUUGAUUGGGAUAUCUUUGGGGUGAGGGGGGAUAUUUUUCAGCCUGCCACACCCACUUCCCUUCUUCUGGCCUCUUCCAGAAAAUGAUGGCCCCUCUGAGCCCCGAGUUCCCCUUCAGCUUUGAAGUUCUGCAGGUGAUCCUCAGACAGCCUAGCCUGCAUUGCCAAGUUCACGACAAUGUUAUCUCAAUAGAGUACCUGAUAUUUUUUCAAAGCACUUUCCCAUCUGUUAUUUUGCUUCAUGCUCCUGAUCACCUCUCGGGGCACACAGGGCAAUUAAUAUUAAACCCAUUUAAUUGAUGAAACAACAGAGGCCCAAAAACUCCUAACUCACUUUCUCCUUGAGUUAGUCAGCUAAUGGGAACCAGGAGCAGGCCAGGUGGUUUCCCAGGGCAUGCUUUUUUUUUUUCUCUCUCUCUUUCAUUGUAUAUAGCCUUUCACCACCACAGGCUUUGUUCUGGAAGCCCAGGAAGGUAGGCAAGUCAAAGCUUGUCAUGUAGAUCCAAGCCCACCCUGAAUCCCUGAUUCAUAUCCCCUGGAGAGUGUGGCAGGAACUUCAUUUGCACUCCCUGUGGUCCCAGGUGGCAGGUAAGCUCUCAGUCUCUGGCUGUAUACUGUUAGAGACCUCUUCUUCCCGUGGGUAGCUUCCCAAGCAAGGGGGUUUUCCCAAACCUCAAGAACUGCAGGACUAUCAGACAUUAGCAGAAUUAGAUCUGCCUGGCCUCCGGGCCAAAAAAAGAUUUCAAUUGUUUCAGGACAGAUUAAAUUCAGGACUGGGAAUAGGGCAGGGGAGGUCUUUUUUCGCAGUCCCACCUGCCUGUGACUUGCAGAUCUGGACGAAGAAUUUCCUGUCCUAACUAGGCCUCAGUUUCCCUGAAAUAACAUCGAUUAGGUGGGAGUGGGUGUGGGUCAGUAGGAUUUCCUCUUACCCCCAGCCCUUUUCAAUCUAAUUCAGAAAUGAGGAUGAAGCCAAGUGUUUGGAGUUCUUGCGAAGAAAGAUACAACAGCCACACAAGGUAUUAUUAACUUUAUUACUUGUCAGGAAGAGGUGGGGGAAGCAGUUAAGAUUCGGCUAGAUGAGAGGUGAGUGUACUGCAUUACAAUCUCUGGAGGGUGUGGUGGGCAUAUGAGCUGGAAAGGACCAUUAUUUAUUUACUACUUUUGUUAAGUGCCUGUAAUGUGCUGGGUGCUAUGCUGGAUGUGUGUGUAACACAGACACAUAAACCAUUCAGGGUCAACCUUGCGUGGGUGGGAGGAGGUUAAAAGCACUUGCAUCUUCUUCUCCCUGAAAACAGAAACAUCUUCCUCCUUGGCCUACCAUGGUGCCAGCAAUCUCCAGCAUUAGCGAUGGCUCCUUGGGGGUAACCUGCAGAAGCUUCUUAACUGGGUUAAGGCAUCUUAUUACCUUGCAGGAGUAAGGCAAUCGCCAGCUCACUGAUAGUACACAAUGAUUUCGCUCAUUCCAUCCACUCUUGGCCAUUGGUGCAGCAGGAAGGGCCUUGGGGUCCUCCAAUUUGGACAGUGGGGAGGACUUGGCCCUGGGCUGACAGAUUGCUGCUUGGCAGGUUUAUGGGAGCCAGGCGUCAGCAUGGUGUGACGUGGGGAGGCAAGAGUCAAUGCCAAUGCAGGCAGCCCCCUCCCACCAAGCAAAGCGGCUUACAGACUUCGGAGAGGAAACAAAACAUCUACAUGCAAAUGUUGAACCAGAUUUCAGAGCAAGAGAGCAACUUCAAGAGCCAAGGCAGUUCCAACUACCAGGUGUUUAAUACCUUUUCAGCUUGGGUGGAUCAUGGAUCUCUUUGAGAAACUGAGGAGACAGUCUUGGAUUCUCUCUCUGUCUCUCUCUCUCUCCCCCACCUCCCCCUCUCUUGCACCUUCUUCUCCCUGCAAACAAAAUCAGAGUCCUGCUCUGUCACCCAGGCUGGAGUGCAGUGGUGCCACCUUGGCUGACUGCUAGCCUUGAACUCCUAGGCUCAAGUGAUCCUCCUGCCUCAGCCUCCCAAAGUGUUAGAAUUACAUGCGUGAGCCCCCACACCUGGCCUGGAUCCUCUCUUUUGUAGAAAAUGCACUUGCAUAGCAAACACACACACACAUACACACCUCUCACUUUUUUAAUGAAAUGUCAGGGUGUCUGCUGAUGCCUGAAGCACAUCCGAGGGCCGCAGUGAGAUAUUCUUCUUUGGAAGUGCUCAACAACCCUGGGAGGUAGGUGUGGCAGGGUCUCUUUUCAUACACCAUAAAACAGAGACCCAGAGGCAGCUCGCAACUUGCUCAGGUCAUGUAUUAGUGAGCAUCAGAGGCAGGCCAGGACCCCCAAUUGCACAGGUCUAGGAAGCACCAUUUCAUCCAAGUCUAUGUUGCAUGCCAAAGAGUGUCACUGACAGAGAACACAGUGAGACCACUGCUACCGCCCUGGAGUUAGGCAGUGCAGCAGCUCUAGAGGACCUCAGCCAGGGUCUUCUGAUAACCAUUUACAGGCAUAUAUGCAAAAAGCCCCACGGGGUGACAGAGGUAAGGAGUCCUGGAGGGGGAUCAGAGAGGGAUGCAAUUGCCGAAGACUUGGAUGCCUAAGCUUGCAAAUGGAAGACUAUUUCUAAAUCAUUUAUUCAUUCCACAGCUUCAUAGGUGGAGGUGAUUCAUAGGUGGUUCCUAUGUGAAUUUCAGUUCCCCUUCCCCCCGACCUAGAGUAAAAUCCACACUCUUAUUUAUUUAUUUAUUUAUUUUGAGAUGGAGUUUCACUCUGUUGCCCAGGCUGGAGUACAGUGGCAUCUCGGCUCCCUGCCACGUCUGCCUCCCAGGUUCAAGCAAUUCUCCUGCCUCAGCCUCCCAAGUACCUGGGAUUACAGGUCACCACCACCGCGCCAAGCUAAUUUUUUGAUUUAUACUAGAGACGGGGUUUCACCAAGUUGGCCAGGAUGGUCUCGAACUCCUGACCUCAAGUGAUCUGUCCACCUCGGCCUCCCAAAGCGCUGGGAUUACAGGCAUGAGCCACCGCACCUGGCCAAAAUCCACACUCUUCAUAGCGAUCUCUGUGGCUCAGCAGGGACCCCUCCAUGCCUCUCUGUCUCUCCUCUCUCUUGCCACUGCCUUUCUUGUUCAUUACACUCCAGCAACCCUGACCUUCUGUCAGUUCCUAGCGCUUGCCAAGCUUUCCCCUCCCCAGGGCCUUUGCACUUGCUGUUCCUCCUGCCUUGGAAGAUUCUAGCCCUGGCUGUUCCCAGGGCUGGCUCCGUCUCAUCCUUCAGCUCUCAUCUUGAAUGUCACUUUCUCAGAGAGAUCUUCUUUGACUUUAUCUAAGAAUAUCCCUCCACUAUUCUCUAGCCAUCUGUUUCUUUUUAGCACGUAUAACAAUCUGUAACUGUUUUAUGUCUUAAUUUGCUUAUGUAUUUAUUAUCUAUCUCUCCCUUGAUCAUAGAAAACAUGGUAAAGAUUGUAGCUACGGUGUCCUGUUCACCAUUCUAUCCCUAGCCCCUAGCACGUAUUAAGGGUUCAAUAAUUGCAGACUGAAUGACUGAAAGGCAUGUUUGGAAGCAGAAGUAUUCCUCGGCCACCACUUUAUCUUACUUAGUGCAGUAAUGCAAUCAACAUUUGGCUCCUGCUGUGAUGCUACCCUGAUCUCGGGCUGGUGAAAGCGUGACUCUCCAAGAUGAGCCAUCCAAGAAACCACAUAGAAAAGAUCAAGGUCCCAUAACUUCAGCUUGGGGAAGCAAGAACAAAUGUGGCAUUCCUCACUUAAGAAAGAAGAGGCUGUGAUGCUUGCUAAAAAAAAAAAAAACUUGUCAACUGGAUCCAUCAUCAAAGGAAACUGCCCCAUGGACAGUUUUAUGACGUAGUCUGAAGCACAGGAAAUGGGCGGCACGGGAGCAUCGGGGGACUUUUAGAAGUUGUAUUGCUUUCUUAAGAAAAUGCUGCUGGCUUCUGGAACUGCAGUUUAAUUAAAUUCAGUUGGCUGGAUACCUUCAAAGGCUGUUCCAGGUCUUCACCAGCCCUCACAGACGCAGGCAUCUUCCGAGCAAAUGUGUGAGCGAGAGAGCGGUGAAGCAGUCUCUGGCAAGACAAGGCAGGCAUUCUCCAAUCCUGGAUCAUCACACCCUGGCAUGCGGCAGGGCAGGUGGCCAAGGACCUGAGCGUCCAGAUCUUCCUCCACCCACCCCGCCCGGUCUCCAUGUGUGACAAUGGAGGGGAGACAAUGCUGUCUUCAUAGAGGUAGUGCAGAGAUCAGGGCUAUCAGAGGGGCCUGCAAAGGUGCACACAGACCCACUUUGGUCAAUUUGUCAGCGGUGAAAUCCGAUGCAGGUUCUCCCAGGGUGACUCGCUGCCACCCCAGGGAUGGAGUCUGCAGGUUUCUAGGGGCUGGUCCCCCAGGGAAGGAAGGUCUGAGGGCCACAGGAGCAUUUUGGGAACUUGAGCUCUUCCAAACCAGUCUGUAACACAGAAGACGCUAGAAAGAACACUAACUGGGUCAGAGAUGCAGUCCAGACACCAUGGGGCAUUCUGAUUAUCUUGAUAAGAUGUGAGCUCAAACAUAGACCCUGUCAGAUGAAAUGUCUCAGAAAAGGCAAUUUUCUGUUCAAUCUAACUUUUAAUUUAAAAAAUAAUAAUAACAGGCAGGGCAUGGUGCUUCACACCUGUGAUCCCAGCACUUUGGGAGGCUGAGGUGGGAGGAUCACCUGAGGUCAGGAGUUUGAGACCAGCCUGGCCAACAUGGUGAAACCUUACCUCUACUAAAAAUACAAAAAAAAUAGCCAGGUAUGGUGGCGCAUGCCUGUAAUCCCAG
rnacentral:lncRNA from 10 species